AUGAUCCCUUCCAGGAGCCACGGGUAUCUUCUCUCUCGGGACGCUGCUCCGACACGAUCCGGUAAGGAGACAGGCCUCCGUGUGCGGCAACGAAGGCGGCGAGUGGCGGGCGACGGCCGACCCUUCACUCCGCCUCCGGCCCUCUCGGCCUCUCCUCCGCAAGUCCGCCUUCACCCACAUGCGCCCUCCACGGCUCCACGGCUGACGGCUCCAGUGCUCCACUCCCGGCAGUAUGGCACUGCCUUCGUCGCUGCAGUGGACUGCGUAGCCGUCAGACUUCGUCGCUGCAGUGGACUACAUCGAUCCAACCAUCCCUCAUACAUCUACUGA
rnacentral:rRNA from 1 species